GUUGGAUUAUAUAUAGCGGUGUAUUUUUAUCUCUCCUAUGAUAAUGUCUUUUUGCCAAAUCUUCUAAAAGUAUUUUUGUUUUCAUAAAUUUUAUGCUUUUAUUAAUCAGAUAUAAUUGUGACUACAUUACAUAAUAGUAAAUUAAUACCCUUUGUCAAACAUAUUGUGUAAACCUCAAUAAUUUAAUUUCUCUGAUAUCAAUAACAUCACUUUUUAUUGAAAUGAAUCAAUCUCUGUCCAUGCUUUUGUUUUAAACUUUGUAUUUAAUUAUAUUUCACAUGUGUCUCUUGUAAGACAAUUGGUAUUUGUUUAACUUGAAAAGUCAUAUUUGUAUAUUUGCUUUUCUUUAUGAAGUAUUAAGUUUAUUUUUUAUAUUAUCACGAUAUAUUUAGGAGAAGCAAGCUGUGAUGAAAUUGCAAGAUGUGGAUUCAACAGAAGCCUUUGUCAAUCCUAAAAUGUGAUCUGCAGCAAGAAUGGACCUUUAGUUCUGUUCUCAUUGAGACAAAGAGACCAGGCCUUUGUACCUUAAUAUGGACUAGUAGGUUAAAGGUGCUCUCAGGGAGGAGCUGUAGCACUGGACAAGGCAAAACACUUCAGUUCAAGCCAACUCCUCGAGAGAGACAUAGCUGUGAGCUGUCAGUAGCCAGCAACAUCUGGUAGCUGGAGGAAUGAGUGCCUGGGCUAUAAACGGAGGAUUUGGGUGCUAUACCAGAGCAGGCACUGCACCGCCAAACUGAUACAUUUCACAGAUCAGUAUUUUUUCUUUAAUUAUGAGACAUUAGUUUGCAAACAUUUUAUUGGACCAAAUAAAAAUGUUAAAAGACACACAUGGGGAGGUGGGGCCAAGUUGGCCAACUAGAAACAGUAGUGAUCAGAGACUCCCAUCGAAAAAUCCAAAACAGUGUGCAAAUCCUACAUUGGCAACCAAGUUAUCCAGAUUCUGUCAUUAGGGCUGACGAGGCAACAGGCUUGACUCAUGAGGAGGAAGGAAGAGCAGUGUGGUGCAGCAGCCCACCUGAGAGCCACAGGGGGCAAGAGAGCCCCCACCCCCAGCCAAGGGAGGUGGUGAGUGAGCACGCUAUGCAGCCUGGAAAACCAAGCUUUUCCAUAGAACUGUGCAACCCAUGGAUUGGAAGAACCCACUCAGGAGCCCAUGACACUGGGGCCCUGGGCCCAACCAUGGAGCCCCACA
rnacentral:lncRNA from 1 species